AGAAAGAGGAGAAGAGCGAACGGGGGAUGCCUAGGCUUCCGGAAGCGAGGAAGGACGUGGUAAGCUGCGAAAAGCCCCGGGGAUCCGCAAACAGGAAGUGAUCCGGGGGUGUCCGAAUGGGGGAACCCGCACGGCUGAAGGCCGUGGACAGGUCGCGAGACCUGGGCGUACGCAGGGAACUGAAACAUCUUAGUACCUGCAGGAGGAGAAAGAAAAAUCGAUUCCCUGAGUAGUGGCGAGCGAAAGGGGAGGAGCCCAAACCGUGUGCGUUUCGGCGCAGGCGGGGUUGUAGGAGCGUCCGAAUGUCGAGCAGCCAGGAACCGGAACCGUCUGGAAAGUCGGGCCGGAGAGGGUGAAAGUCCCGUACGGGUAACGGGGUUGUGAGACGGAUGCCACCUGAGUAGGGCGGGACACGAGGAAUCCUGUCUGAAUCUGCGGCGACCAUGCCGCAAGGCUAAAUAUACCCGGAAGACCGAUAGUGGACCAGUACCGUGAGGGAAAGGUGGGAAGCACCCCGGGAGGGGAGUGAAAGAGAACCUGAAACCGUUCGUUUACAAGCGGUCGGAGCCGAGAGGCGACGGCGUGCCUUUUGCAUAAUGAGCCUACGAGUUGCAUCACGGCGGCGAGGUUAAGCGCCUCAGGCGCGUAAGCCGGAGCGAGAGCGAGUCUAAACAGGGCGAGGAGUCGCCGUGAGCAGACGCGAAACCUAGUGAUCUACCCAUGUCCAGGGUGAAGGCGCCGUAACAGGCGCUGGAGGCCCGAACCAGUUUCCGUUGAAAAGGGCUUGGAUGAGGCGUGGGUAGGAGUGAAAGGCCAAUCAAACUGGGAGAUAGCUCGUACUCCCCGAAAUGUCUUUAGGGACAGCCUCGGUCGUGUCUGCGUGAGGUAGAGCUACUGAUAGGAAGAGAGGGCUUCAUCGCCUAUCGAUUUCUGACAAACUCCGAAUGCGCGCAGAUUAGAGACCGGGAGUGAGUCGGCGGGUGCUAAUAUCCGUCGGCGAGAGGGUAAGAGCCCAGACCCUCGGCCAAGGCCCCCAAGAGCAGUCUAAGUUGAGACGAAACGAAGUGACGCCGCCAAGACAGCUAGGAUGUUAGCUUGGAAGCAGCUAUUCAUUCAAAGAGUGCGUAACAGCUCACUAGUCGAGCGGCGAUGCGUGGAUGAUGAACGGGCAUAAAGACUGCCGCCGAAGCCGGGGACGCGACAUGGUCGCGUGGUAGGGGAGCAUUGCGGACAGCGUUGAAGGUGUACCGUGAGGUAUGCUGGAGCGUCCGGAAAAGAAAAUGUAGGCAUAAGUAACGACAAUGGACGAUGGAAACGUCCACACCGAAAGCCCAAGGGUUCCUGAUCUACGUUAAGCGGAUCAGGGUUAGUCGGGGCCUAAGGGGAAGCCGAGAGGCGCACCCGAUGGGGAACCGGUAAACAUUCCGAUACUCGCUUCGCAGGUGACCGGGAGACCGGGGAGUGACACUGCCGCCGUCAUACGGAGGACGGUUUAAGGACGUAGGGAGACUGAAAUCCGAAAGUACCGCGAGGCUUCGGCCGAGCGGAUAGCGCAGGUAAGCAGACCCGCAAGAAAAUCCCGGGAGCGUUAAGCGCGGAGCGACCCGUACCGUAAACCGACACAGGUGGGCGAGGAGAGUAUCCUAAGGUGCUCGAGUGAAUCAUGGCUAAGGAACUAGGCAAAUUGACCGCGUAACUUCGGGAGAAGCGGACCCUGGGGACAGGGCGCAGAGAAAUGGUCCAGGCGACUGUUUACCAAAAACACAUGGCUAUGCCAAAUCGAUAAGAUGACGAAUAUGGCCUGACACCUGCCCGGUGCCGGAAGGUUAAGAGGGGAAACGGCGGCCGUAACUAUAACGGUCCUAAGGUAGCGAAAUUCCUUGUCGGGUAAGUUCCGACCUGCACGAAUGGUGUAACGAUCUGGACACUGUCUCAGCCAUGAGCUCGGUGAAAUUGUAGUGGCGGUGAAGAUGCCGCCUACCCGCAACGGGACGAAAAGACCCCGUGAACCUUUACUAUAGCUUAGCGCUGGUCUUGGACGGACGAUGUGUAGAAUAGGUGGGAGGCUGCGAGGCGGAUACGCUAGUAUCCGCGGAGCCGCAAAGUGAAAUACCACCCUUCGUCCGCCCGGGGCCUAACCACGGGAGUGGGACACCGCUUGGUGGGUAGUUUGACUGGGGUGGUCGCCUCCAAAAGAGUAACGGAGGCUUCCCAAGGUCCGCUCAGCGCGAAUGGCAACCGCGCGGGGAGUGCAGUGGCAAAAGCGGGCUUGACUGGGAGACAAACAAGUCGAGCAGGUACGAAAGUAGGGCAAAGUGAUCCGGUGGUUCCUCAUGGGAGGGCCAUCGCUCAUAGGAUAAAAGGUACUCCGGGGAUAACAGGCUGAUCGCUCCCAAGAGCUCAAAUCGACGGAGCGGUUUGGCACCUCGAUGUCGGCUCGUCACGUCCUGGGGCUGGAGCAGGUUCCAAGGGUUCGGCUGUUCGCCGAUUAAAGUGGCACGCGAGCUGGGUUCAGAACGUCGUGAGACAGUUCGGUCUCUAUCUGUUGUGGGCGCGGGAAGUUUGAGGAGUGCUGACCUUAGUACGAGAGGACCGGGUCGGACGAACCUCUGGUAUACCGGUUGCGGCGCCAGCCGCACCGCCGGGUAUCCACGUUCGGUCAGGAUAAGCGCUGAAAGCAUCUAAGCGCGAAGCCGUCUCCGAGAUGAGACUUCCAUUGAGGGUCGUGGGAGACUACCACGUUGAUAGGCAGGAGAUGUAAGGGCGGUGACGUCCUCAGUCGACCUGUACUAAUAGCCCGAGAUCUUUCUUGUA
rnacentral:rRNA from 1 species